GUGGGGAAUAUUGGACAAUGGGCGAAAGCCUGAUCCAGCCAUGCCGCGUGUGUGAAGAAGGUCUUCGGAUUGUAAAGCACUUUAAGUUGGGAGGAAGGGCAGUAAGUUAAUACCUUGCUGUUUUGACGUUACCGACAGAAUAAGCACCGGCUAACUUCGUGCCAGCAGCCGCGGUAAUACGAAGGGUGCAAGCGUUAAUCGGAAUUACUGGGCGUAAAGCGCGCGUAGGUGGUUUUGUAAGUUGGAGGUGAAAUCCCCGGGCUCAACCUGGGAACUGCCUCCAAAACUGCAUGACUAGAGUACGGUAGAGGGUAGUGGAAUUUCCUGUGUAGCGGUGAAAUGCGUAGAUAUAGGAAGGAACACCAGUGGCGAAGGCGACUACCUGGACUGAUACUGACACUGAGGUGCGAAAGCGUGGGGAGCAAACAGGAUUAGAAACCCCUGUAGUCC
rnacentral:rRNA from 1 species